rnacentral:SRP_RNA from 1 species
UAAUGAGCUAGGCGAGGCAAUAGAGAAGCCUUGAGGAUUAUUCCGACCGCAACUCUAGAUGGCGGGCUAACAGCCCAAUUGAGGAUGCUGAGGCUAAUCAUACAACCUUUGAUACGACGAUGAAGACUCGCCUAUAUUGCUCCACGGUGAAAGGGUUUCUUCCGUAAGGAAGAAUACUUCUUUCUUCAAUGGGCGAACCUGGUCAGGACAGGGAUGUAGCAGCCUAAGCCCUAACGAGGGAGGCUUUAUAGAUACGGGUCUGAGAUCGGUCUUAGGAGCUGGUGAUUAGACGAACUUCCAAGGUUGGGUGCUCUUUA